GGAGGGGUGGCCGCAGCUCAGGAAGAGAACAUCUGUUUUGCAUGCAGAAGGUCCCAGAUUCAAUCCCUGGCCUCUUCU